rnacentral:piRNA from 1 species
UAAGACUUUGGUUUAAAUGUCGCUGUUUC